ensembl:lncRNA
UUAUAUACUCACAACUCUCAGCCAGUUGGCUCUAUAUGGGGAGAUGCACUAGGACAGGAGUUAAGCGGGCUUCCACUGGUUACUAGUAAGAUGCAGUCAGGUUCCUAGUGGGGGUCAUAUACAAGUGAGGCACUUCUGAAGUCAAGAAGACAGAAAGCAGAAUGUACUGCACACUUGUUCACAAAAAACCUGCUCACACAAAAAUCUGUGCAUCUUUAAUACAAAGGCUUCCGACUAAAUUAUUCUUGAAAAAAUUAAAAAACUUGUAACUUUUUGCAAGUUUAUCUUUUGGGAACAAUGGAUAAGAGUGCAGCAAAGCAACUGAAAGGUUUCUAAUUGCCCAGCUGCUAGGUAACUAGAACCUUACAUCCCCUGUAAGGUUCGUUCCCUCUCCACCUACCUUUUGGUUUGAAUAAAUCACUUCUGCCUUUCUGUGUGUGCACAUCUUUAAUAUUUUCUGUUUGACUCACCUAUGGCUCUACUGUCAUUUAUUAACCACUUUUUGGUGUUUCCUGUAAGACGCAGAAAUGUGAUCUGGAUCAAAUCAAGAGUAAGAGCGACAUUUAGUGAUGAAUUGGUUUUAUCGGUUAACUAAAGUUCUCCAAGUUAUUUUUCAGAAAAAAGUUACACUUGCUCAAUGCACUGUUGGACUACAAUUAAAAUUACUUUAAAAUACAUUAAUCCAAGUUACAUGUUGCAAAUAUAAUCAGACAUUCCACUUCAACAUAAGAAAAAUCCAUAAAAUUCUCCCCGCCACGUUUUCUGCACUUUGAAGACUGACAUGAACACUAAGAAAUGCCUAUGUGCCACUGAAGGGAAGAGAGGGAGGGAGGGGGAAAGCGAGGUUCGCCCAAAGAAUUAGAUGGCACUAUACACACGGACUGAAAGUGCACUGCGUUACUUCAGAAGCUCAAUUUAGGCACUGCUGAAUAACCAAUGAAAAUAGGUAGUUUCAAGUUUUUCUCUUGAAAUUUUAAGUCCUGCCUCAUCAACAUCUACUCAGAAACAUACAUACUCUCUGGAGUUGUCAUGAUAAAAUACAGGUAACUAUGUUUAAAAAAUUUCUGCCUGACUGUUGCUGGGAAGGAAACAGGAAUACCGUUUUGGUAAUGGCUUCUGAGUUAAGGAACUGGCUGUAUCAAUGCUUCAGUACACACGGAUGUUUGACUGCCAGUGCCAAGUAUCAAUGAAUAUUUUAAAACAGGAUGUGUAAGAAAAAAGUGCUUAAAACCUUUCGGCAACCAUAUGCAUUUGGGGAAAGAUUUACUUACAUUCCUAUGAGCUGUUCCUACCCCUGAUUUCUCUGGUAGGCAGAAGCUACCCUGAACAGCCCCCUUUACUAGGCGACACCAUCCCCAUCUUUCAGUGCCGGUCUAAAAUCAUCCAGCAGGUGGCGAUGGAGCUCCACAGCAUUCCUGCUCAAGAAAUCAAAGGCUCCCCAUAAGCCACAAGCAUCCUCUGACAACUCCUGAUUCUGAGCAAAGAAGCACGACAGGUGGAGAAUUUUCUGGUCAUGCCAUUCAGAUGAUUCAUUUUCAAUAUUUACUUUUACUUUACCAGUUUUUCUGAGCCAUCUGCUGAAACUUUAGACAAAAAGAGAAGUUUUAAAGAAAAUGCCCAAUGGCAGUGCCAAAUCUGUACAGCAAAAAGAAAUCAUUCUUGAAUCCACCUGCACAUGUUUGGAAUUGGAUUAAACGGUCCAUCUAAUUCACAAAGGGACUCAAUAACAUUACAUCAUCAGUUUCUUUUCUGGACUGCUUGAAUUCAUGUGUGCUAAUUACAAAAAUCAAAGUAAAAAAAAAACCCAAUUUCAUUAUCAUAGUUUUUAAUGAAAAGAAAUGUUUAAAAUUGUAAAGGAAAAAAAAUGGGAACGGGAUGGCAAAAUCUUAGCAGCAAAGUGGUUAAACAAACUGAAAAUAUUAAUGCACAAACAUUAAAAUAUUAAAGCAUGUACGUUGCGUAUAAAAUACAGUACAGAACCAGGAGAUGCACUAUAGUGACUAGUGCUUAACAGAAAAAAAAAUGAUUAAUUUUACUCUUCUCAGAAGUAUAUACACAGUUCAUCUCCAUGGCAUUUCCUAUAUUGCCAGCAAGUUAUUUUCUUUAGUUAUUCAUACCUUGCUCCAACCUGAAUUAUAAACCCAGAACUUACAAAUAUGAAUAACCACUCAUAAGGAAAACCAGUAUUCUAUUUCAGCAAUAAAAAGGAAUUUUGAAAGUUAACAGUCUGCUCUAGGAAACCAAGUUUAUCUGAAAACGCCAAGGAUGAAGAUCAUCUAUCUGUGUAGCAGCCUCCAAUAUAGAAACAGUAAAAAUAAGACUGAAAGUUGCUGCUACAGUGUCCGGUUUUGGAUUUAGUUCAUCCAAUUGAUUUUUAGUACAAAACUAGAAAUAGCCUCUUCUUCAUAACAUCUAUAGUUAUCAAUAUAUUUUUCUUCUUUUCAAUGUGAAAUAAUACUUCAAGAUGAUCUAUAUACAUAAUGUUGUCAGUUCAAGCUGUCAUAUAAAUAUAAAUGCUUUCUUAAAAAAAGUAUUUUACAGACAGAUAGUGUUAUAUAUACAUCGUUCAGUUUGAUCUGGGGCAAAAGAAGAAAGCCAACACAAGCCUAAGUGUGACACAUUAAAUGCACUGUACAGAAAUGACACUGAAAACCUGUAGAAUAAACUUCAAAUGGUAGUGUGAUUUUCAUUUCUAUCACUC